rnacentral:rRNA from 1 species
AAACAACUACGAGUACUUACUUAAAACUUAAAAGACUUGACGGUACUUCAUCACAAUCUAGAGGAGCCUGUCUAAUAACCGAUAACCCACGAUUAACCCCACCCUAUCUCGCCUACAGUCUAUAUACCACCGUCACAAGCUUACCUUAUAAAAGAAACGAAGUGAGCCAAAUAGCCUAACACUAAUAUGACAGGUCGAGGUGUAACUAAUGAUAGGGGUAAGAUGGACUACAUUCUCUAAACAGAGAAUACGAAUGAUUCUAUGAAUAUAGCACCUGAAGGUGGAUUUAGCAGUAAGCUAAGAAUAAAAUACUUAACUGAAAAUAAAGCAAUGAAGUGCGU